rnacentral:rRNA from 1 species
AUGAACGCUAGCUACAGGCUUAACACAUGCAAGUCGAGGGGCAGCAUGGUCUUAGCUUGCUAAGGCCGAUGGCGACCGGCGCACGGGUGAGUAACACGUAUCCAACCUGCCGUCUACUCUUGGACAGCCUUCUGAAAGGAAGAUUAAUACAAGAUGGCAUCAUGAGUCCGCAUGUUCACAUGAUUAAAGGUAUUCCGGUAGACGAUGGGGAUGCGUUCCAUUAGAUAGUAGGCGGGGUAACGGCCCACCUAGUCUUCGAUGGAUAGGGGUUCUGAGAGGAAGGUCCCCCACAUUGGAACUGAGACACGGUCCAAACUCCUACGGGAGGCAGCAGUGAGGAAUAUUGGUCAAUGGGCGAGAGCCUGAACCAGCCAAGUAGCGUGAAGGAUGACUGCCCUAUGGGUUGUAAACUUCUUUUAUAAAGGAAUAAAGUCGGGUAUGUAUACCCGUUUGCAUGUACUUUAUGAAUAAGGAUCGGCUAACUCCGUGCCAGCAGCCGCGGUAAUACGGAGGAUCCGAGCGUUAUCCGGAUUUAUUGGGUUUAAAGGGAGCGUAGAUGGAUGUUUAAGUCAGUUGUGAAAGUUUGCGGCUCAACCGUAAAAUUGCAGUUGAUACUGGAUAUCUUGAGUGCAGUUGAGGCAGGCGGAAUUCGUGGUGUAGCGGUGAAAUGCUUAGAUAUCACGAAGAACUCCGAUUGCGAAGGCAGCCUGCUAAGCUGCAACUGACAUUGAGGCUCGAAAGUGUGGGU